GGUUUGGUCCUAGCCUUGCAGUCAGUUAUUACUUAAUAUACACAUGCAAGUAUCCGCCCCCCUGUGAAAACGCCCUUUAAUCCCCUCUAGGGACAAGGAGCUGGUAUCAGGCACGAAAAUCUGCCCAAGACACCUAGCUAUGCCACACCCACAAAGGAAUUCAGCAGUGAUUAACAUUGAGCAUUAGCGCAAGCUUGACUCAAUUAAAGUAAGAUAGAGCCGGCUAAUCUGGUGCCAGCCGCCGCGGUUACACCAUGUGGCUCAAAUUGACCCCUUCCGGCGUAAAGCGUGAUUAAAGUUAUUUAUUAAUAGAGUUAAACUGAAACUAAGCUGUGACACGCCUGUUUAUCAAGAAACCCAAAAACGAAAGUUACUCUAACUUAAUCAACUUGACUUCACGACAGCUGG
rnacentral:rRNA from 1 species